UUAACGCUGGCGGCGUGCCUAACACAUGCAAGUCAUACGGUCCUACUUAGUAGCCCUUUAAAGGCGAAGGUGGGAUAGUGGCGAACGGGUGAGUAAUACGUGGGUAACCUACCCUUAAAUGGGAGAUAACCUCGAGAAAUCGGGGCUAAUACCACAUGACGUCCCGUUUCAUAGGGAACGGGAUUAAAGGUCCUGUAAGGGACUGUUUGAGGAUGGGCCCGCGACCUAUUAGCUUGUUGGUAGGGUAAUGGCCUACCAAGGCUACGAUGGGUAGCCGACCUGAGAGGGUGUACGGCCACACUGGGAUUGAGAUACGGCCCAGACUCCUACGGGAGGCAGCAG
rnacentral:rRNA from 1 species